GGUAAGAUGGCUGAGUUUUAAGCGGUGGGUUGUAGCCCCAUGAACAGAGGUUUGAAUCCUCUUCGUACCA
rnacentral:tRNA from 1 species